AGAUAAGACUCCCCUGCUACCAGUGGCUGUGCAAGAGCCUCCGAUCGCCGUUUUUAAGUACCGAAAGAGCGUUGUUGUUGUUGCUUCUGCAGUUGCCACCUUUUUUAUUUUGCUAUUUAUGGACGUCCUGGCGUGAUGUCUGGGUACCAUUUGGAUUAGUUUUUAUUUUAUAACUUAGCAUCAUUUUUUUUAACUUAUUUAUUUACCAAUAAGUAUUUUGCUUCAAAGUUGCAUGUUGUGUUUUUUAUACUCAGAGGAACCAUUUUUUUCUUUUAAUGGCACUGAGUUCUCACAUUAUUUUAUGAUUGUUUUUAGUACCCUUGUUUGUAAUUUUGUAAUGAUUUAAUUCACGAAUAAAAUUUUCACUUUC